GUUUACAGCAACAAUGGAAGGUGUUUUCAAUCAGUGACACAAAACGUCUUUAAAUCUCGCUAAUUGCGCGGGAUGAUGAAAAUCACAUUUCCUCUGCACUGGCCUGUUUGGGGGGUGGUGGACCAGAUUCAAAGCUGGUGAAAGGAUACGUGCCAGCUGGUAGCAGGUGAUGUCAAAUCGAAUGUCGUCCACAUCAUAAACUCUGGCAGUCUGCACAAACACGCGCCGAGGAAACGCGUCGUGAAGGAGCGGUGACAUUGACGGAGUGAGAGUGCGGCCACAGUGCGAUGUAACAGCACGCUGCCACUUAUGAAAACACCUACUACACACUGUCAGCAACUUAACCUUCUAUCACCUGAAUCCCCCGCUGGAGGAUUAAAUGUGGCAGAUGUAGGACGAGAGGAGGGGGAUCAGGGGAAGGGAGUGACAGAGG